GUGCUUGCUUCAGCAGCACAUAUACUAAAAUUGGGAUGAUACAGAGAUUAGCAUGGCCCCUGCACAAGUAUGACAUGGAAAUUCAUGAAGCAUUCCAUAUU
rnacentral:snRNA from 1 species